rfam:Ciona savignyi cont_6441, whole genome shotgun sequence.
CAAACGGCCCUUUUUAGGGCCACUUAACUGUCAGAAAGAGAUCAAAU